AGAGGCUGAUUGAAGCUGAGCUCAAUUAGAAGGAAAUGAGAGCAAAGAAGGAGAGGAGGAGGAAGGUUUGGAUGCAGAAAUUAGUCUCCAGAUCAGAGAAGUUUGCUGCAGAGAAUCAGUAAGAUGUGGUUCAGUGAAGUCCUGGCUGAUGUUUGCCUGCAGCUCAGGACUCAGCGGUGAUUUCUAGUGAAUCCUGGGAGGAAGAGGAGCAGCGAAGAUCAUAGCUGGGAAGGAAACUCUCUACUUUGGUGUUCAUGAAAUUAGAAACAGGUGCACUAGAGGGGUGCUCAGAGGGGCUCAGUGAUGCUCUGGUCCAGAUCUGGAAGGAGAUACCUCAGGACACCAUCCAUCGUCUCAUUAAGAGCCCCGACAUCAUCAGGCUGCAUACAAGCACGUGGAGACCAUACAAACUACUGAGUACCAUUUUGAGUUGCUGCCCAGGAAUUUCAGAAAGAUGGACCAGCCUGCCACGUCAUUUUUUCACUUUCAGUUUUGGGGUGUCUUGAAUUCAGCCCUCUGUAGGUUGAUCAUUUUCAUUUCUAUCAAGCAAUGUGGCAUGUUUUUGUUCUUAACACAUUAUCCAGUCCAUAUCAAUGUAGAUAUCCAGCUUGUUAUUUUUUCCCAUUAAAAUAUGAUGUAUUUUCAAAGUGUUCCUUUAAUUUUUUUGAGCAGUGUACAUAUUUUUUGGGCUGUAUUUUAGGGUUAACUUGCAUUUGAACAACACAAAGAAAAUCGGCCCAAUACACCCCACAAUGUUCCAAAAAUUCCAAUUAAAAACUGUUGAAAAAUGUUCA
ensembl:lncRNA